rnacentral:rRNA from 1 species
UACGUAGGCAGCAAGCGUUGUUCGGAGUUACUGGGCGUAAAGGGUGCGUAGGCGGCUUUUUAAGUUUGGUGUGAAAUCUCCCGGCUCAACUGGGAGGGUGCGCCGAAUACUGAGAGGCUAGAGUGUGGGAGAGGAAAGUGGAAUUCCUGGUGUAGCGGUGAAAUGCGCAGAUAUCAGGAGGAACACCGGUGGCGAAGGCGGUUCUCUGGGCCUUACCUGACGCUGAGGAGCGAAAGCGUGGGGAGCGAACAGG